UGAGGGAUAUUGGUCAAUGGGGAAACCCUGAACCAGCGACGCCGCGUGGGUGAAGAAGGCCUUCGGGUCGUAAAGCCCUUUUCCCGCUGACGAGGAAGGACGGUAGGCGGGGAUGAAGUCUCGGCUAACUACGUGCCAGCAGCCGCGGUAAGACAGAGGUGCCGAGCGUUAGGCGGAAUCACUGGGCUUAAAGCGUGUGUAGGCGGAUGCCUAAGUACCUUGUGAAAUCCCACGGCUUAAUCGUGGAAC
rnacentral:rRNA from 1 species